GUAUUUUUAUAAAGUGGGAGAGACCUGGGAAGCCAGGGGCUGGCUUGGCGGGGGUGGGGGCCGCUGGUAAGUUGGGGGGAGUGGGAAGGAUGACCGUGGCCUUGAGAUCUUCCCACCUGCUGGACUCUGGCUUCACAGAACUUCCUCCUAGAACAAAGCUGAUGAUCUUUUUUUUUUUUUUUUAUACAUGAUAAUUUGAUGAUCUUUAUUGUUUCAAAAAGGCAAGUGAGAGACAGGCGAGAGAAUCAGAGCAUUCCUGGGGCACAUUCAGUGCUGGGAGUCAGACUCCAGUUUAACAAGUCCAGCGCCACCUCCUGGCCAGCUCACACAGUCUUUCUCCUGAAAUCUGUACGUGGAGGCAUCAGCAAGGAGGGCCUUUUUUGUUUUCCUUCUAAACCUCUAACCUGUCUGUCUGGUUGCCAUAAUGCAGUCACUUCGCUCUGCCCUGAAGGUCACUCUGGUCCUGUUCCCUCUCACAAAGCACAGGGAGAUUCCAGCUGCAUCCUCUUCACAGGGCCAACCAGCUGCAUCCUGGCUCUUGGCUCCCCUUUCCAUUGUAUUUCAUUGAUUUUGGUUAGCGAUUAAGUAUGUAGUUGCAGACCCUUUAGUAGUGAAAAUCAGUUUAUUAAUAGGUUCUUUUGUACUCCGUUUGUGUUACAGCAUCAAGUAGGACACCUGGGGGAAAUGGGUGGUGGUUUCCUAGAAAAAUGCACAUUAACAAAAGGAACCUCUUUUGUCAACUUUCCACAAUUAGCCGUAUCUCCUCCCCUUUGCCAUAAUUCCAUCGGUGUGGGGCUCUGCCCUGGCUACUCCCUACUUGUCUCAGUCCUAGAGUCAGCCAUUUCCUCAAAGAAGCCUGGUUCCUCUUAUUAGAGGGUGUUCAGACUUAACUGUGUGGGGCAGGGGAGACAGCGUAGUAGUUAGGCGCAAAAAGACUUUCAUACCUCAGGCUUCAGAGGUUCCAUAUUCAAUCCCUAGAACUAAAUUAGGCCAGAGUAGAGUAGUAGUUUGGUAAAGAACAAAAGAAGAAAAGAAAACCAUUUGUAUAUGUAAAUGUUUGUAUAAAUAAAAAGAAGGAAGAAGCUGGGUGCCAGGAAGACCACUUACGUAUCAUGUAUGUGUUAGAGGCCCCGAGUUCAUUCCCUGGCACCACAUUGAAAAGAAAACUUACGGGAGUCGGGCGGUGGCGCAGCGGGUUAAGCGCACGUGGCGCAAAGCGCAAGGACCGGCAUAAGGAUCCCGGUUCAAGCCCCCGGCUCCCCACCUGCAGGGGAGUCACUUGACAGGCGGUGAGGCAGGUCUGCAGGUGUCUGUCUUUCUCUCCUCCCUCUCUGUCUUCCCCUCCUCUCUCCAUUUCUCUCUGUCCUAGCCAAGAAAGAUGACAUCUAUAACAACAACAAUAAUAACUACUACAACAACAACAAGACAACAAGGGCAACAAAAAGGAAAAUAAAUUUUAAAAAAAAUUAAAAAAAAAAAAGAAAACUUACGUGUGGGAGGUAAGUGCGCUCAGCUGACAAAGCAAGGAAAUAUAUGCAAGUAUUCCAAGUUACGCAACUCACCUAGUUACAGUUUUAUGCAGAACCAACCAACCAUCUGUCCCCCCAGUAAAGGGUUAUGCGCAUAGAUUCCAACCAGUGCAGCACACGUCCUAGUGAAGCUUUCUGUGUUAACACUCAAGAUGCAGAUGAGCCGAUGCUGAUGUCUCCGAGCUGACCCAUUAUCACAGACUACCAGCCUUUUGUACAAGCUGACGUAGGUGAAAGCCAGGAGCUGGAUUUGGGGCAAUCAGGGAGACGUGGAAAGCCUCCACAACUCUGCUCAAAAGGGUUGGGGUGUCCGUGGUGAGUGACACUGUCCAUGGCUUAGGGAGUCUUUAGCCCACUAGCCCCAAAGAACCGUCCAAUGUCGAUGCAAACAUUCCUUUAACGUUGAAAGAGUUCUUGUUCCUCACCCUCUAGCUAUUGGCACCAUCUAUGCACAGCUUAGCAGUUCUAAGAAAUGUGCAGUGUCUACCUCAUUAUUGCUUCGAUUUAUAGUUCUCUCUUUCUCUUCACCAGAUUACUGCUCAGCUCUGGUUUAUCGUGGGACCAGGGCUUGAACCUGGGACCUCUGAGAUGAGGUCUAAAAUUUUGUUGUGCUGCUAAUGCUGCUAUCUCCUUGGCCCUUGGUGUGUAGUCCUCUGUGAUAUGAUAUAUGAUAUUAUGAUAUUGAAAAGUUAUGAAUGCUUCUCCACUAUCUUUAUAUCUGUUUGGGUGAGGUGUCCAGUUUUUGACACAUAACACUGUUUUUUUAAAAAUGUAUUUAUUUCCUUUUGUUGCCCUUGUUGUAUUGUUGUAGUUAUUAUUGAUGUCGUCAUUGUUGGACAGAGAGAAGUGGAGAGAGGAGGGGAAGACAGAGGAGGAGAGAGAGAUAGACACCUGCAGACCUGCUUCACCUCUUGUGAGGCAACUCCCCUGCAGGUGGGGAGCCGGGGGCUCGAACCGGGAUCCUUACGCUGGUCCUUGCGCUUUGUGCCACGUGCGUUUAACCUGCUGUGCUCCCGCCCGACUCCCAACAUUGUUUUCUUCUUCUUGAACUCUAAAAAUUCUUUAUUUAUUUGAUUUAUUGGUGAUUCAGUAAUGAUUAACAAGAUUGUAAGAUAACAGGGGUACAAUUCCAUACAAUUCCCACCACCAGAGUUCUGCCUGUCCCCUCCAUUAGAAGAUUUCCUGCUUUUUUUAAAUCCCUCUCUGAGAGUAUGGACCACAAUUCUUUAUGAGGUGCAGAAGGUGGAAGGUCUGGCUUCUGUGAUUGCUUCUCCACUGAGCAUGGACAUUGUUAGGUGAAUUCAUACCUCCAGCCCAUUUGUGUCUUUCCCUAGUGGGGUAGGGCUCUGGGGAAGCAAGGUUCUAGGACAUAUUGGUGGGGCCUAAAAAUCCUUUACAUAUUUUGAGUCUGAACCCUUUGUCACAUUUUUUUUAAAGAUUUUAUUUAUUUAUUAAUGAGGAAGAUAGGAGGAGAGAGAAAGACCCAGAUAUCACUCUGGCACAUGUGCUAUGGGGGAUCCAACUCAGGACCUCAUGCUUGAGAGUCCAAAGCUUUAUCACUAUGCCACCCCCUGGACCACUGUCAGAUAUUUUUUACAGAUGUGUUUUCUGAGCUAGUAGUUAUGUUUUUUUUUUUUCAAUUUCUGUGAACAAAGUCGUUCACUUUGAGAAGAAAAUUUUAUUUUUAUUUUUAAUUAAUUAAAAAUUUUUUUUGCCUCCAGGGUUAUUGCUGGGGUUGGGUGUCUACACUAUAAAUCCACUGCUCCUGUGCCAUUUUUUUUCUUUUUUUUUCCCCCCUUUUGGAUAGGACAUUGAGAAAUUGAAAGAGGAGGGGAAGAUAGAGAGGGAGAGAGAAAGAUAGACAUCUGCAGACCUGCUUCACUGCUUGUGAAGUGAUCCCCCCUGCAGGUGUGAGGCCAGGGGCUCGAACCAAGAUCCUUGUGCUUUGUACUAUGUGUGUUUAAUCCAGUGCACUUCCACCCGGCCUCUAAAAAUUUUAAUUUUAUAAAUUCCACAUAACUAAUUUUCUUUUGUGGGUUGAUUGGCUUUUGAUAUUUUGUGUUAAAAACUCAUCCCCAAAUGCCAAGGUCAUGUGGGCAGUUUGGAAGGAAUGUUAGAAUAGUGGUAACAUUUGUGUUCACAUUCAUUUAAUUCAAUAAGGAAGGCCUGACCACUUUUUUUUUCCUGAUAAGACAGAGGGAGCAUAGAACUUUCUUCUAUUAAAUUUCUAAAAGUUAAGAGAUUUAGUAGGACAACAAGGAGGCAGCCCUCCUAGGCACUGGACUGUGAGCUCUGUGCCUCCCUCACUGACUACUUCUGGCCAGCAGGGGGUGCUCAAGCUGCUGAUCUGCACACCCACAUUUUACCUGCAGACUUGGCACAGAGCUCCCCAGCACCCACAGUAGCUGGGUGCCUCAGGAUGUGCCAGCAAGCAUACCUAGAAGGUGAGAAAGUGAAAAGUGAGAAAUAAGGGAGCGGAGUGGAAGAAUGAGGCAUGAGGAAUGAGGUUCCUGUGCAUGGCUGAGGCUGGUCCCAUCUGAGGACCCUGCAGAAACAGGACUCCAUGGGAGACUGUGGAGGCUUGGUUAAUUUGGGGCUGUGUUUGUGUAUUUCUGCAGCUCUCCGUGUCUCCCCAGCACACACACACACACACACACACACACACACACACACACACACACACACACACACACUGCUAUUUUUAGAGGGAGAGACACAGGAGAGACACCACAGCACCCUUACUGCAUGGUGUUUCCAUGUGGUUCUGAAGGCUUGACAUUUUUUUCUCUACCUGCCCUACGUGUCUGACAUGCCUUAUCCAUUCUUACCUACUUUUAAUUUUCUGGAAAAGUUUCUGAAGUUCCCUUUUUACAACUUGAGUGAGUUUAAA